rnacentral:lncRNA from 1 species
AUGUCACAAAAAGGAGAAAAUGGAACAGUAAGUGAAGAAGAUUAUCUCCUAUAACCAAGCUAAGAUUCCAUCCUUCCAAAUCUUGGCAUCAUUAGAGAGCAUUGACCAAUAUAAUUACACACUUAAAUCUUGUCCUUUUUCUUUGACCAGAUUCUACUUCUCUUUCUUAGUUAUCCAUACACCUAACAAGAGAAUACAGAAUUAAUAGGCCAAAACUUGACCCACUUAAAAACAAAUCAAGAAUUAUAUUAUUAAAAUAACAAUUGUCUUUUGGAUCUUUCCGAAAAAAAAAAAUAGAGAGACGAACUAAGUGUCUUCACCUAUGUUCCUUAGUUUUUCUUUUGCGUUUGUAAUGAAGAAUUAGUAUUGGAACACUAAAUUUGAGUUUCUCUUUUACGUUUGUAAUGAAGAAUUAGUUUUUCUUUUACGUUUAUAAUGAAGAAUCAAAAUCAUAGGAUACUUGAGAGGAACACUAAAUUUGAGUUUCGAAUCUUGUGAUGAUCUAAUUCUUUAUCGGGUAAGCUAAUCAACGUGCUUUAUAUAUGCAUCAAUUUUGCUAAGAAUUAGAAAAAAAAAAUUAUUAGAGGAGUUGUUUUUCGUCUGAAGAAUAAGAAAUAUAUGGUUUUUUUUUUUUGAACUUUGAGUUCUUAAUAGUUUUUUUUGUUGGUGGGGGGAUGAAAAGUUGAUACUACAAAGUCCUAACACAUAUGAGGCUCUUCAUCUCUCUAUGAAGCCGAUGUAAUAGGCAAAGCUUUCUUAUCUUGUCAAAGAGAAGAAAGCUCGAGCUUAUCAAGCGUCAUACUCGAUGGAACCAAACAUCAAGCCUUCUCCAUGAUGUACUCCACAGCAUCCCAGCAGUUGCUCCAUAUGCUCUCACCUAUCGCGACCAACACCUGCAGCACUCCGUCGAACACCUGCGUGAAGGCCUCGGCCAACGCGUCGAGCGCGCUCCUGCUCGUCGCCGGGAGCUCCGCAACCGCCGAUACCGUGAGCCGGAGAGCCCCAGCCACGACGCUCGUAAGCGCCUCGAGCAAGCUCGAGACGAGGGACAUGACCACGUCCCUGACGAGCUCCAGCGCGCACUGCAGCGCCCACCAGAGGAGGCCGCGGGCUAGCUCAACCGCAUCGUUGCAGGCUUCUCCGAGGAUCUUGAACAGGUUGACGAAGGCUAUUAGGGCAGCAGUUGCAGCUCUGAUGACAACAGCACUUGCUAAGCAUGCCAGUGAACCGGUCGCCCAGAGUACAAACUGCAGCAGAGGAAGUGCCAUUGCCUGCUGAUCAAUGGUGGUGUAGAUUACAAGGAGAACAGCAUGUUUCUUAUACAAAACCACAGAGAGUUAAAAGAGUUUAUGAGAGGAGACAAAUGUUCUUUGUUUUGCUGACUACUAUAUUCAAAUGUCACGGAGACUUGGUCUUUUAACUUAAUGUAAAUUAUAACAACUAUAUUAUAAGAUAGAAGACUUUGGCUAUUCUUGGUUAGCUGAAAUGUUCUAAUCAGCAGUCACUAGUUCAUAGAGGAAACAUGUCAUCAAGAAAGAUCAUUGUAAUCAAACUAAAAACCUUUACAAAAAGCAUGAGCAAAUAUGUUAGUGCAAUCUAUUAGCAAGAUAACAGGAAGAACUGAAAAUAUUAGAACAAUCUUACAAAAUACACCCAGUCCAGUGAACAAGUUACUUCUAAGAGAGUUCAUUUUCCAAGAGAAAGAAGACAACACAUAAUCACAAUUAGAGAUCCAGCAAUUAUAAGACAAAAGAGAGAGAACCUUUGAGUCUUUAACAGUUCUACCUCAUUAGCACACAAAGCAUCAAGUGAAGAAUCAUGGCAAGCAUAAAUAUGUAGGGAAAAGCCAAGUGCUAUGUAUGAUGGUACUCAUGUAUGGAGAAGAGUAAAGAGAGGGCAAGAGCUGCUUUUAGACAUGUCAUGAGAACAGAAUGAUGUGAUCUUCCAUGACCUGGGAGAAAUAGGCAAUUGCAAAUAAGAAGAAGACUUUGGAUUCACUGUCAAGAAAUUAGAUACUAAAAGAAAUGAGAAGAGGACAGAAGAGCUCUAUCAACCAGAGCAAAAAUGAAGAACCAGUCACUAAGACUCAUAUAUUUCAGAGAAGUGAUACUGAACUUUUUGCACAGAGAAGCAAAAAGAAAGCUUUGGAGGAUGACUACAGAAAAAAACAGAGUAGAAAUAUUUUGAUAUUUCUAAGGCUUGGUUCAUAUAAAAGUAAUACCACGUUGACUUAACGACAAGUAAUUACAUGUAUAUUUAUGAGGCACACAUGAUUUAAGAUGCAAGUUGGAACAUAUUACCACCACUUGCAUUAUUAAACCAAUAACAUGUUAUUGACAACUGCUAUUCGCAUGGAAUGAGUCAACUAUUCAAACAACAUCCUAAUCCAAGAUUCCAACAGUUCUUCAAAGCUACACCAAGUAAUCAGCUUCUGUACAUGUAAUUAACGAAUAGAAUAACCCAACCAUUCAAUUGAUGAGCAGCUUGAAGGUACACAAUCCAGAGAGAGGAGACAAAAUCUUGCGACCAAUCUCAUCACAAGAGAAAAUCAUUACAAAAGAAGAAUGAACAGAGAUGAUAGUUAUUAUCGUCAAUACAUGGAUUUAGGGUAAGAAUUGAGAAAGUAUCGAAGUUCUUCAUCAUGACAAAUUGUUAUUCAAAAACACGUACAUGACAAAGACGACUCACAGCCCACAAUAUAAAUGUCUAUUUCAGCAAUGAUAAGCAUAAGGAAUGUAGAAUAACUGGGCAUUCAAAUAGAUUUAACAUGUGUUAUUCAUAUUAUACUAUUGAUAUCAGUUUAUUGUAAUCCAAUGAUAGGAUGAAUCAUGGCUUAUCCAUACCAAGCGUGCCAACCGCCAGCCAUGUCAGCCUAACAUAUCCUUCCAACAUAAUGCCACUGCCAACACCAACAGGUACUGUUCUUCCAUGAGACACACUAAAGACGCAUUGUUUUUUACUUUUGUUCGGCUAAUGUUGGCUAUUUAAUCUCCCAUGCUGAUCCAAUAAGCCUUUGGUAAACCUUGCUAGUGUAAUGCUACUAAGGAUACCACACACUCAACAAAACCAAAAUACCUAAAUACCAUAUUCUUAUCUAUUCUGAUCUAUCCAUCUUCCCUCGACUCUUCCAACUUCUGAAUAGUGUGGUUAUAAAAACACAGAUGUACUCAAAUGUCUAAAGCACCUUACUUAUCAAAAGAAAUUUAGGUGUAGGAGGUGAAUGCAUGCUUGAUUUCCUCAAUCAACAAAACUAAUUUACAGACAGCCCAUGAAUAUUUGCAACAUUGAAGUUCAAUCCAUCCUUGCUUCAGAGCAAAACAGUAUACAGCAUUGACACUGAUAAUAUCAGACAGUUGCUAUGAAAAAAAAAAGUUAAUUUGCAUGGACCUCCAAGCACAUCUUAAGCCAGGUUGGACAAAUUCGAGCAAGUUUUCAAAGAUUUGAAGCAAGAUACAUCAUCCUUAGCAUUCAGCCAUGAAAGGUCACUUUAAGGAACCUUCUUUUUUUUCUUUUAAUACUGGUAGCAUAGUAUGAGUCAGAACAACUGGCAGAUAAGUAGAAUGACAAUCAAUUUCCUUUAACCAACACAUUUCCUAUCAAUUCCUCCUUCAAAUUCAUAUCUCUUUUAAGGCUUUUAACCUUGAUCUCACCAAUUCUACUGAAAGAUGGACAUCUUCAUCUCUACAACUGAGAUAUAUUUCUUCUACUUUUUCUUGAAACAAGUUUUCUCACAAAAUUUUCUCAUUAUGUAUCUAAUACUGUGUGAAUCCAAUAUUUGCCCUUGUAUUAAGAGGAACAAGAAAACUGUAGAACAAACCUAAAGUAGAUUUUGGAAGAUGUAGAACACAGACCUGGGCUUCUCAGUGGAAGUACUCCGGCUUGACAGCACAUGAGGAUCUUAUCAGAUGUAAG